rnacentral:lncRNA from 1 species
GAACUCAGCACUAAAUAAAACCCCGCACUCAGGUAUAUACUGCCAUGUCUAAUUUUCACACGUGGCAUCUUUUUUUAAAAAAAAAUAAGAGAACAUAAUAUUUACCACACAGGGAAUGCUGAGUUUAUUUGUGGGAAGUUUGGAUGUGCUUGUUUUAAUUUCCUUUUGCUUUUCCAUGUUGCCUUACAGUUCUACCCCAAAACUCCAAAGCCGAAGAACCUAAAACAAGUUACAUUCAACAUUCUAAGUCCACCCCAAAAGAAAAUCAAACACACAAUGAAAGUGCGGGCAAAAGACACACACCUCGUAGCUUGCAACCGCAGCUUGAUGCUGAAAACGAGUCCCGCCUAGUUUCUCAAACCCAGCUGGCCAGGAAAGCUUUUAAGCAGCUGGAUGACCCCUCACUUAGUGCUGCGCCUGCAGAAGCAUUCAGCGAGGAAGAACCUGGAAACAAAGGUCUACCGUGUAGAGUUGGAACCUUCCAGAAUGCUUCCUCUUCUGUGUCUCAAGGAAAGCUUCAAAGUACUCACCCUGUUGCAGUGGAUGGUUUUGACUUUGGAACAGCUGGCGAAAAGUAUAAGUGCCUAAACGAAAGGCCUCGAAGAACAGAGGUUGGAUGUAGCCAGUCUAGACAGUGGAAGGUGACAACAUCUGGGAAAAUCCCAGGCUUUGAAGUCCAAGAAACCCCAGUAAGAGAUGAAGGCUCUUCUGUUGACUGGAGCUUAUUAUGCGAGACUCUUCAUGUCAACAAUAGCAGUGGCUUUCAGCAUCCUGUUCCAAAAAUAUAUUCCAGGGGGCCUCUAGACUCCCAUUCAGCCCUUCCCAUGACCAACACUCGUUCCGAGGUCAAGGAAGAGACUUCUAUUUUCUCACCCCGUCUCGGUGGACAUCACGAGAAGGAACUUAUCAAGAAUCAAAACGUACAUUGCACCGACGGCCAUAGGACCACGAAUUCAGGCUGUACAACGUUCGCAGACUUGGGCACCGGAGGUGCUGCUGGCGCCCAUCCGAACAACACUGUGCUGUGUCCUGCAGCCGGAAAAACCUAUAAUUCACUACAAUCCAGGAAACACAUACACAGGGUUAUGGACUGCCAACAAGACAGCGGCUUUGAGAGCCCACAGAUCAACUUUGAUUAAUCCCCAACAUCAGGAAACUCGGAC